AUUGAACGCUGGCGGCAGGCCUAACACAUGCAAGUCGAACGGAGUGGCGGACGGGUGAGUAAUGUCUGGGAAACUGCCUGAUGGAGGGGGAUAACUACUGGAAACGGUAGCUAAUACCGCAUACUAUCAGAAGAGCCCAUGACGGAUUAGCUAGUUGGUGGGGUAAAGGCCUACCAAGUCGACGAUCCGUAACUGGUCUGAGAGGAUGAUCAGUCACACUGGAACGGAGACCCGGUCCCGACUCCUACGGGAGGCAGCAGUGGGGAAUAUUGGACAAUGGGCGAAAGCCUGAUCCAGCCAUGCCGCGUGUGUGAAGAAGGUCUUCGGAUUGUAAAGCACUUUAAGUUGGGAGGCGUUACCAACAGAAUAAGCACCGGCUAACUUCGUGCCAGCAGCCGCGGUAAUUC
rnacentral:rRNA from 1 species